GGGUGCUGACGAGUGGCGAACGGGUGAGUAAUGCAUCGGAACGUGCCCAGAGGUGGGGGAUAACGCAGCGAAAGCUGUGCUAAUACCGCAUGUGAUCUGAGGAUGAAAGCGGGGGACCAAGCAGCAAUGUUUGGCCUCGCGCCUCUGGAGCGGCCGAUGUCAGAUUAGGUAGUUGGUGGGGUAAAGGCCUACCAAGCCGACGAUCUGUAGCUGGUCUGAGAGGGCGACCAGCCACACUGGGACUGAGACACGGCCCAGACUCCUACGGGAGGCAGCAGUGGGGAAUUUUGGACAAUGGGCGCAAGCCUGAUCCAGCAAUGCCGCGUGCGGGAAGAAGGCCUUCGGGUUGUAAACCGCUUUUGUACGGAACGAAAAGGCUCUGGCUAAUACCUGGGGCUGAUGACGGUACCGUAAGAAUAAGCACCGGCUAACUACGUGCCAGCAGCCGCGGUAAUACGUAGGGUGCGAGCGUUAAUCGGAAUUACUGGGCGUAAAGCGUGCGCAGGCGGUCUUGUAAGACAGAGGUGAAAUCCCUGGGCUCAGCCUAGGAAUGGCCUUUGUGACUGCAAGGCUGGAGUGCGGCAGAGGGGGAUGGAAUUCCGCGUGUAGCAGUGAAAUGCGUAGAUAUGCGGAGGAACACCGA
rnacentral:rRNA from 1 species